rnacentral:piRNA from 1 species
AAAAAACUGUGACAGACUCAGGC